UUUUAGGUCUCAAUGCGCCUUGGGCGAAUACCUGACGCUGCGACGCCGCGUGGGGGCAGAUGGUCUUCGGCCUGUAAACCCCACUCGGGAGGGAUGAUGGAGUGGGGUAACCCCAUCGGACGGUACCUCCAGAUGCAGCCACGGCUAAUUCUCGUGCCAGCAGCCGCGGUACUACGAAGGCGGCAAGCGUCUGUCUCGGAUUUACUGGGCGUACAGGGAGCGUAGGCGGUCUCGGUAAGCCCUCUGUGAACUCUCCAGGCUCUAUCCUGGAACAGCUCGGAGGGGACUUGCUUGGGCUUAGAGGACGGGAGAGGAGCGCGGAACUCUCCCGGUUGUUAGCGGUUGAAAAUGCGUUAGAGAUCGGGAGGAAAGGCCGGUUGGCGAAAGGCGGCGCUUCUUGGAAACGUUUUCUGACGCUUGAGGCUUCGAAAAGCGUUGGGGAGCAAAACAGGAUCUAGAUACCCCCUGGUUAGUUCCCACGCCCUUUAAAACUUAUGACUACCUUAAGCUGUUCGGCGGGUUCUACCCGCCCGGUUUGCCCGCAGCCUUAACGCAUUUAAGCUAUUCCCGCCUUGGGGGAAGCUA
rnacentral:rRNA from 1 species